GAUGAACGCUAGCGGCAGGCCUAACACAUGCAAGUCGAGGGAGAAGCCCUUCGGGGCAGAAACCGGCGCACGGGUGCGUAACGCGUACGCAACCUACCUUUCACAGGGGGAUAGCCCGAAGAAAUUUGGAUUAAUACCCCAUAAUAUUAUUGGAUGGCAUCAUUUGAUAAUUAAAAUUACGAUGGUGAAAGAUGGGCAUGCGUCCUAUUAGCUAGUUGGAGUGGUAACGGCACCCCAAGGCUACGAUAGGUAGGGGUCCUGAGAGGGAGAUCCCCCACACUGGUACUGAGACAGGGACCAGACUCCUACGGGAGGCAGCAGUGAGGAAUAUUGGUCAAUGGUCGGAAGACUGAACCAGCCAUGUCGCGUGCAGGAAGAAUGCCUUAUGGGUUGUAAACUGCUUUUAUAUGGGAAGAAUAAGGCGUAACGUGUAACG
rnacentral:rRNA from 1 species